GACGAACGCUGGCGGCGUGCCUAACACAUGCAAGUCGAGCGGGAACCUCGGGAGGGGUAACCCUUCCGAGGGGAGAGCGGCGAACGGGUGAGUAACACGUGGGCAACCUGCCCCGGACACCGGGAUAACCCAGGGAAACCUGGGCUAAUACCGGAUACUCCGGUGAGGUCGCAUGACCUCGCCGGGAUAGCUCCGACGGUCCGGGAUGGGCCCGCGGCCUAUCAGCUUGUUGGUGAGGUAACGGCUCACCAAGGCGACGACGGGUAGCUGGUCUGAGAGGACGGCCAGCCACACUGGGACUGAGACACGGCCCAGACUCCUACGGGAGGCAGCAGUGGGGGAUCUUGCGCUAAUGCGCGAAAGCGUGACGCAGCGACGCCGCGUGGGGGAUGAAGGCCCUCGGGUCGUAAACCCCUUUCGCCAGGGAAGAAGCGAAAGUGACGGUACCUGGAGAAGAAGUCCCGGCUAACUACGUGCCAGCAGCCGCGGUAACACGUAGGGGACGAGCGUGUCCGGAAUCAUUGGCGUAAGCGCGCG
rnacentral:rRNA from 1 species